UUCUAUAUUAGCCAAACUUCA
rnacentral:sRNA from 1 species